CAGACCAAUUCCAACUGCAAGAUUGUAUAAUAAUCAACAUGAGAGCUUUCAUGCAUACCGGACUGCUUCUAGACUGCUGUGCAAUUUGGGUCACCAUGGGCUGAAUGGAUGGCAGAAAAGAUGGCCUGCAGAUUGAUGGCCAACCUAGAGCAAGAGGAGACAAGAGAAGCCAUGGGCAGCAACAACCUCUGGCAUAUAGCAAAGUGUAGAUGGAUUGAUUCAAGAAGAGAAAUAGUAGCAUCAAAGAGCACCCCAUCCCCGAGCAUAAUUCAUUUCAGAAAGGGGAGUGUUUUUUGUGAUUAGCUACGUUUGAAUGUUUACAAAGCACCAGUGACUGUUUCGCACACCCCCCACGUGUAUUUCCAUUGAAUCCUCAGAGCCCCAGGAAUCCCGUGUAUUCACAGACAAGGAAACGGAGGCACAGACUCAUCAAGUGAAUUUUCCAAGGCCACACUUUAAUAUGUGGCAGUCCUAAGAUCUUAACCCAGACAAAUCUAAUUGGGGGAGGCACUUUCUCCCUCUUCAAAGCUUACCCACCUUUUAUCCCAAAAGCCCAGUCUAUGUUACAUCCAGAGAAGACCGUUGGGACAAAUACAGAGUAGAAGAAAAUGAACCCUGAAGAACAUUUGAAAUAAGUACUGAGUUUAUGUCAUUGAAAUCUGAUGCUGUUUUCAAAUAUUCAUAGUAGAAGCACUAAUAUUUUAUAUACGGGCAGGUAACAGUCUGAUCAACCUUGUUCUCCUAAGUAAUGGUGGCAGAGAGUCAACUGACAGCCUUACAAAAGGGUUUGGGCUUCCCUAUUAUGUCUCAGUGCUCACAUUCCUUGACCUGAAACAAUCUCAAGGUUUCCAAGGAUGGCCAGACUGUCAAGACUGCUUUCUUAGAGGCAGGAAAUAUUUCUAUUUCAAGGAGAUGAAGUGAACAUUUUCUUGGCCGAGUAUUUGAUCAUGUUUCUUUACUGGAAAUACCUACAUUUCUUUUUCCUGAAUCAGACUUCUAGAACUUUUUCUUUCAUCCUAAAAACAGACCAUUGAUCUCAUUUGCUUCCUUCCCUGUCAGUGGCCAUGAAGGAGAGGUCAAGUCCUUGGAGUUCUCUGCCUUAUCUAGAAGAUUCCCUGGGAUUCCGCAUGCAGUUCCCCCACCUCCUCUUCUGGUACCCGGGCCAGUUAGCCACAUGCAUUUCUUUCUCUGACACACAGGCUCUUUUUGGCCAUCAGUAAACACACUGACCUUUGAAAUAUGGAAAGAAAAGCGCUUUGAAAUAAAACUGGCACAAACAGCGGUCAGACAGCCGUCAUCUGGAGGCAGAAACAAAGGGGAGCAUAGUUUUCAAGCUGUCUUGGUAAUUACACCAAGCAGUUAUCACUCAGGCCCCAGUCUGCGCAUUACCCCCCAAACAAACAGCGGAGGUCUGAGAAAGUACAUAGGCCACUUUGUUGCUGAAGCAAGCUGGGGCUGCAGAGCCCCCCAGCUAAAAAUCACAUGUGGCUGGGAGUGUUUUCCAGGGCUGCGGGGCUCUUUCCUUUCUUCCUUCCCCAUUAAACCCCUCUGCUCUUCUUGGCAAGGGCCUUCAGGUGAGAUCUGUGCUCUGUGUAUCCUGAAAUGAUCCAGAAUGGUUGAAAUGGUCGUUUCCCUGCAUCUGGCUAUUUCCAUUUUACAGGUAUUUUAUGAAUUCA